GAGGUAGGAGAAAGGGGGUAGGAGAGAGGGGUAGAGGUAGAGGAGAGGUAGGAGAAAGGGGUAGAGGUAGAGGAGAGGUAGGAGAGAGGGGUAGAGGUAGAGGAGAGGUAGGAGAGAGGGGUAGAGGUAGAGGAGAGGUAGGAGAGAGGGGUGUAGGAGAGAGGGGGCGCGGCAGGAGUGAGGGAGGAGAGGGAGAGAGGCAGAGGCGACCGAGGAACAGAGAGAGGACAUCUCGUUGGGACACAGACGAUCGACUAGGAGACAAAGCAGAGGUAGAAACAGAGAACGUGGAACUCAAGCUCCGGAACUCUGACAACAACAACACAGAAAACCCCCCACCUACUACUGUUGUUGCUGCUGCUACGAAAGAACCCUCUAAAGAACCUCCUACAGAUUCUAAAGAUUCCACUGUAGAACCCUUCCAAUCCCAACAGAAGGUGGAAUCAGAACCCUCUGGAUUCCCUGUUGAAGUGACUGCUACUGAACCGCCAGUGGCGUGUGUAUCUGAACCUACAAGUCAGCCUCGCCCCAUAGAGAAAACACAAGCGGCUGAGACACAGGAGACUGAGGCAGUCAUAGGCUAGUGGCUACCAAAUGAAACUUUAAAAAAAACAUUUAAUUUUAAUGUUAGCCUCGGUGCCAGUCUGUUUCUGACUUCUUGACAACUCCUGUCACUAACUCAUGGAAUUGUCAUGUUUGGCUUGACAUUUACAGCAAUGGAGCUGGCAAGAGCGCAAACGGAUCUGGGACCAGGCUAGUUUGAUGUUGCCCCUCAACCACAGAUCUAGAAUCAGAUUCCCCUUAUCCCUCCAAUUGUAACCUUAGCCAUAGGGGGAUGGUAAUAUACAGAGCGUUCGGGAAAAUAUUCAGACCCCUUGACGUUUUUCAACAUUCUGUUACCUUACAGCCUUAUUCUACAAUGGAUGAAAUAGCCCCCCCCCCCUCCCCCAAACGUAUUGAAAAUAAAAAACUGAAAUAUCACAUCUACAUAAGUAUUCAGACCCUUUACUCAGUUCUUUGUUGAAGCACAUUCGGCAGCGAUUACAGCCUUGAGUCUUAUUGUGUAUGACGCUACGAGCUUGGCGCACCUCUGCAGAUCCUCUCAAGCUCUGUCAGGUUGGAUGGGGAGCGUCGCUGCACAGCUAUUUUCAGGUCUCUCCAGAGAUGUUAGAUUGGGUUCAAGUCAGGGCUCUGGCUGGGCCACUCAAGGAUAUUCAGAGACUUGUCCUGAAGCCACACCUGCGUUGUCUUGGCUGUGUGCUUAGGGUCGUUGUCCUGCUGGAAGGUGAACCUUCACCCCGGUCUGAGGUCCUGAGCGCUCUGGAGUAGGUUUUCAUCCGAAUAUCUUUCCUUCGAUCCUGACUAGUCUCCCAGUCCCUGCCCUUGAAAAACAUCCCCACAGCAUGAUGCUGCCACCACCAUGCUUCACCGUAGGGAUGAUGCCACCACCACCAUGCUUCACCGUAGGGAUGGUGCCAGGUUUCCUCCAGAUGUGACUCAUGGCAUUCAGGCCAAAGAGUUCAAUCUUGGUUUCAUCAGACCAGAGAAUCUUGUUUCUCAUGGUCUGAGAGUCCUUUGGGUGCCUUUUGGCAAACUCCAAGCGGGCUGUCAUGUACCUUUCACAGAGAAGUGGCUUCCGUCUGGUGGAGUGCUGAUUGGUGGAGUGCUGCUGAGAUGGUUGUCCUUCUGGAAGGUUCUCCCAUCUACAUAGAGGAACUCUAGAGCUCUGUCAGAGUGACCAUUGGGUUCUUGAUCACCUCCCUGACCAAGGCCCUUCUCCCCUGAUUGCUCAGUUUGACCAGGCGGCCAGCUCUUGGUGGUUCCAUACUUCCAUUUAAGAAUGGAGGCCACUGUGUUCUUGGGGACCUUCAAUGCUGAAGAAAUUUUUUGGUACCCUUCCCCAGAUCUGUGCCUCGACACAAUCCUGUCUCGGAGCUCUACGGACAGUUCCUUCAACCUCAUGGCUUGCUUUUUGCUCUGACAUGCACUGUCAACUGUGGGACCUUUAUAUAGACAGGUGUGUGCCUUUUUUCUAAAUCAUGUCCAAUCAAUUGAAUUUACUACAGGCAGGGAUGGUUUUUAUGUCUAAUCAAAAUCUCCCCAAUCAAGUUGUAGAAACAUCUCCAAGGAUGAUCGAUGGGAAACGGGAAGUACCUGAACUCAAUUUAGAGUCUCAUAGCAAAGGGUCUGAAUACUUAAGUAAAUAAGGUAUUUCUGUUUUUUUUAUUUUUUUUAUAUUAAAAUUAAUGUACACCUUUUUGCUUUGUGAUUAUGGGGUAUUGUGUCUAGAUUGACGUUUUAAAAAAACAACAACAAUUGAAUACAUUUUAGAAUAAGGCUGUAGCUAAAUGGAAAAAGGUCAAGCGCUCUGAAUACUUUCCCGAAGGCUCCUGGAUAUGUCCCCUGGGCGCUCUGGUCAGUGUACUGUAAGGUGCUCUGGUCAGUGUACUGUAAGGUGCUCUGGUCAGUGUACUGUAAGGUGCUCUGGUCAGUGUACUGUAAGGUGCUCUGGUCAGUGUACUGUAAGGCGCUCUGGUCAGUGUACUGUAAGGCGCCAUUUGGACUGUAUUGAAUAUCUGAUCCUGGAUCAGUGGCUACAGGUCACUUCUACAUCUUUUCCCUAACGGUUUCUCAAUGGCCUACUUUACUCGUCUCCUCUCCUUCGUUGACCACCCUAACAGAGAGAAGAUGUGCUUGGCAUCCGCAGUAAUACGAUGUCAAUUAGAAGAAAAAAAAAACAUCCAGUCCUUAUACCCAUCAGUGGUCAUGAAGGAAAGGAGACGAGGAAAGGACUUUUGAAAAGGGGUCAUCUAAAUAAUCUGUUCUCGUCUCCUCGUCUCCUCCACUUCCUGCUCUCACAAAGCAAUGUGGUAGAUGUGUUCAGUUGUCCAAUCGGUUGCAGACAAAGUAAAGAAAGGAAGCCAGGAGUCCAUACUGUAACUGGAAGGACUGUUUUAGUGUUUUUAUCUGACUGACCCCUGACCUCUGAGUAACCACGCCCACUUUAGAGCUGGAAUGUUUUUUUUAGUUUUUUUAAACACUGACAAACCCAAAUUCAAUUCAGGGUUGUAUUCAUUAGGUACCAAAUGGAAUAAAAUGGACUGAAACAGGGAGGAGCUACCUGAACUUGUCCAAUAAGAAACGUUCGUCUUUCUGCUGCAAAAGCGUUUUGCUACGGUACGCACUAAUGAAUACGACCCAGAUGAAGAGAAAAGAGAGGUCUGAGGGCGUUUAGAUGCUGUAAAUAUGCUUUUUUAUUGCCAGUUGCCACUCAAUAUGUUGUUAAUUUUGAUCAUCACGACAGGAAAAAAAUGAACGAAAAGGCCUCUUUUUGCUGUAAAGUUUUUUUAAACUGGUAAAUGUUACAGCAAGGCUUUAGGAUAUGAAAAGUUUGUUUCUUUUUUAAGUUAAAAGAAAGAAACAAUGGAAUAAAAUCUCCUAAUAUUUCAGCGAUAGGGAAAUUGUUUUUAAUAAUAAACUAUUUUCGUACCAGACCUAGCCUUUUUCUGAUUUGUCGAUUUUGAUUUCUCAAACCAUGAUGAGAAAGAGUCACCCCUUCUUUGCUGAGCUCAAUAACUAAUCUGUUAUGAACCUUUUUUGAAGUGAUAUUUCACUACAAAAUCAAAGUUUGUUGGAUGUUUUCAGACCUUUAAGUGGUCUUAUGUAAAGUUCCUGCUUGAAAACAUCUGUCCUUCCUAUCUUCCUCCUAAAGUUUAUGAACAGGGUCCAUAUGUCAGGUUUGUUUGUUGAUCCAACUUUAAUCCGUUUAUUCCUGCCCCUGGCGUUACAAACACUGAUGUUGAGGGUUUGAUACCUGUAUGGGCCAAGUUAUACUAGACCUAUAGAACUGUGUGAACUGGAAAGUGGCCUUAUCUGAACCAGAAUGGCCUAUAGGGCAGGAGCCUACAGUGCCUUCAGACCCCUUGAAUUUUCCACAUUUUGUUACGUUACAGCCUUAUUCUAAAAUGGAUGACUUUUUUUUUUUUGCAAUCUACAAACUACCCCAUAAGACAAAGCAAAACGUUUUUUUUAAAGAUUUUUGCUCAUAUACAUUUUUUUUUUUUAACACAUUUACAUAAAUAUUCAGUACUUUGUUGAAGCACCUUUUGGCAGCAAUUACAGUGUCAACUUUAAUGCUCAAUUUGGCCGGGCGGCCAGCUCUAGGAAGAGUCUUGGUGGUUCCAAACUUCUUCCAUUUAAGAAUGGAGGCCACUGUGUUCUUGGGGACCUUCGAUGCUGCAGACAUGUUUUGGUACCCUUCCCCUGAUCUGUGCCUCGACACAAUCCUGUCUCAGAUAAUUCCUUCGACCUCAAGGCUUGGUUUUUUUCUCUGACAUGCACUGUCAACUGUGGGACCUUAUAUAGACAGGUGUGUGCCUUUCCAAAUCAUAUCCAAUUAAUUGAAUUUACCCCAGGUUGUAGAAACAUCUCAAGGAUGAUCAAUGGGAAACAGGAAGCACCUGAGCUCAAUUUAGAGUCUCAUAGCGAAAGGUCUGAAUACUUAUGUAAGUAAGGUAUUUUUGUAUUUGCAAACAUUUCUAAACGCGUUUUUCCGUUUUCUCAUUGUGGGGUAUUUGUGUGUAGAUUGCUGAAGAUUUUUAUUUAAUUUUUUAUUUAAUACAUUUUUAGAAUAAGGCUGUAACAUAACAAGAUGUGGGGGGAAAACAUGCCCCGAAUACUUUCCUAAUGCGCUGUAUGUCGUUUGUGUAGCGUGAGGCAGCAUGAUGGACAGGUAGCCCUCUGGACAGGACGCUAGCCCGUUGCAGGAUUUUAGGAUACUAGUUAAAUUAUUUUACAAAUAUAAUAGGCGUGAUUUUAAUUUACAUGACCAGAGUUCAUCUAUCCAUGUAAAGUUGAAUCCAUAUCACCGGGAAUUGUGAUGUAUGGGCCCCAUCCUGGUUGUACAUGCUUCGUACAUCGUAUGCCCUCAGAGGUGAGAGGUCAGAGGUCCGUUCUUCCCCUGACCAACAAUAAUAUGUGAUUUCAGGGUUGAGUCGUCGGCGAGGUAACUUUGGUCAACUUUUGAGUUCAACUCAGGAUAACCAGUCGCAACGACUCACCUUUUAGCCAGGUACAUUUCUAUGGCGACGAAUCCAUAUAUAUUAACCUGUUCCCUGGGCAGGUUCACUCCGUUUAUCCAGUUUGUAAUCAGAUUCCCUCCCGCUCGCAAAGAUUGCAUCAUCGUCCCCUUUCAUUAGAGAAGUAUUUUAUUAAAUCACAAGUUGUUGUUUUUGUUUGGUAUGUUAUAAUACCACAGUUACGGAUGAAGCCCCGAGCCGGAAUGUGAAGCUGGUUUGAGAGGAGAUCUAGCCUAGCGUCGUAGAAGACCACUCUGGUUAUGUGUAUAGUUGUUCCAGUUUGACCCAAUUUUAAUCGGCUUAUUCUUGAUACCAAACCUACAACUCCAAUGUUGUAAAACAGGGUCAAAAGUAAGCUGAUUUUAAAGUUAACACAUAUAGCCUAGACAUAGUACUAUAUAGACGUGUGUAUUUUAUUAUUUAUUUAAAUAUACAUAUACUGUAUUUUGAGUAUUUCCUAAUAAUGUGGCUGAAAUCAACGACUUUAAAUGGAUGUAUUUGAAAGUAUUGUAGCCCCGACCAGCACUCGAACUCGUGUCCAACAACGGUCAAGCAAACACCUUAACCUAACCGUUACGCCAAGAGGUCUGAACCUACGCUAGAUGUUCGGUUAAGGUCGCUACAAUACCCCCCCCCUUUCCUUCGGGAGAGCCUGUCCCCAAGCUUCUCUAAACCAAGUCCCUCAUGUGUACACGCCUCUCUCUUGGGUUAAAAAUCGCUACAAUAUUUUCAAAUACAUUAUUUCAAAUACUCUUACGGACCUGGGUCCAAAUGCAUGGGAGUAUUAAUUUGUAUUUGAAAAUAAUCUGUGUUUUUUUUUUUUGUUGAGUAUUUUCAAAUACAUUGCAAUACUUUCCAAUACUUGUAUUUUCCAAAUAAAAUAUCUCUGAAUACUUACUUCAAAAUGUACGUGAACUUAAUUUAAAGAGUAUUUGAACAAAAAGGUCUGGUAUUAUUGUGGUGUUAACUGUAAAUUGAUUUAAGGUAAAGUAGCCUCAUCCUAGCCAAGGCAAAUCGCAUGUAUUUGUCACAUGGCCGAAUACAACAGGUGUAGACUUUACUGUGAAAUGCUUACUUUACAAGCCCUUAACCAAAAAUAAUCUAUAUACAUACCACUACCGAGUCAAUGUGCAGUGGUAGAGGUAGUUGACGUAAUAUGUACAGUACCAGUGAAAAGUUUGGACACACCUACUCAUUCAAGGGUUUCUUUAUUUGCACUAUUUUCUACAUUGUAGAAUAAUAGUGAAGGCAUCGAAAUGAUGGAAUAACACAUGGAAUCAUGUAGUAACCAAAAAAGUGUUAAACAAAUCAAAAUAUAUCACCCUUUGCCUUGAUGACAGCUUUGCACACUCUUGGCAUUCUCUCAACCAGCUUCACCUGGAAUGCUUUUCCAACACGAGGGGCCUGAUUCACGCAGUCUCCUCUGAACAGUUGAUGUUGAGAUGUGUCUGUUACUUCAACUCCGGGAAGCAUUUCUAUGGGCUGCAAUCUGAGGUGCGGUUAACUUUAAUGAACAUAUCCGCUGCAACAGAGGUAACUCUGGGUCUUCCUUUCCUGUGGCGGUUUCAUCAUAGCGCUUGAUGUUUUUUUGCAACUGCACUUGAAAAAAACUUUCAAAGUUCUUUGAAAUUUUCCGUAAUGACUGACCUUCAUGUCUUUAAAGUAACACGUUUGAAGGUAAGACAGACGAUGUCGAAGUAACAAAAGUGUAUUAAUUUGAACAUGGGCAGUCAACGGUAGACGGGGUCAGGGUCAGACAGGGGUCGGUAAUACAGAGUAGUGGGGCAAAGGUACGGGACGGUAGGCAGGGUCAGACAGGGGUCGGUAAUCCAGAGUAGUGGGGCAAAGGUACGGGACGGUAGGCAGGCCCAGGGUCAGACAGGGGUCGGUAAUCCAGAGUAGUGGGGCAAAGGUACGGGACGGUAGGUAGGCCCAGGGUCAGGCAGGGGUCGGUAAUGCAGAGUAGUGGGGCAAAGGUACGGGACGGUAGGCAGGCCCAGGGUCAGGCAGGGGUCGGUAAUCCAGAGUAGUGGGGCAAAGUUACGGGACGGUAGGUAGGCCCAGGGUCAGGCAGGGGUCGGUAAUACAGAGUAGUGGGGCAAAGGUACGGGACGGUAGGCAGGCCCAGGGUCAGGCAGGGGUCGGUAAUCCAGAGUAGUGGGGCAAAGUUACGGGACGGUAGGCAGGCCCAGGGUCAGGCAGGGGUCGGUAAUCCAGAGUAGUGGGGCAAAGGUACGGGACGGUAGGUAGGCCCAGGGUCAGGCAGGGGUCGGUAAUACAGAGUAGUGGGGCAAAGGUACGGGACGGUAGGCAGGCCCAGGGUCAGGCAGGGGUCGGUAAUCCAGAGUAGUGGGGCAAAGUUACGGGACGGUAGGCAGGCCCAGGGUCAGGCAGGGGUCGGUAAUCCAGAGUAGUGGGGCAAAGGUACGGGACGGUAGGCAGGCCCAGGGUCAGGCAGGGGUCGGUAAUACAGAGUAGUGGGGCAAAGGUACGGGACGGUAGGCAGGCCCAGGGUCAGGCAGGGGUCGGUAAUACAGAGUAGUGGGGCAAAGGUACGGGACGGUAGGCAGGCCCCCAGGGUCAGGGCAGGCAGAGGUCAGGAGCAAGGGGGAAAACGCUGGUAGGUAUGAAUGAACAAAACGAACUGGCAACAGACGGAGAACACGGGUAUAAAUACACAGGGGAUAAUGGGGAAGACGGGCGACACCUGGAGGGGGGUGGAGACAAACACAAAGACAAGUGAAACAGAUCAGGGUGUGACAUUAAAGUAAUGAUGGACUGUCCUUUCUCUUUGCUUAUUUGUGCGGUUCCUGCCAUAAUAUGUACUUGGUCUUUUACCAAAUUAUACCACCCCUACCUUGUCACAACACAACUGAUUGUCUCAAAUGCAUUAAGAAGGAAAGUAAUUCCACAAAUGUACUUUUAACAAGGCACACCUGCUAAUUGAAAUGCAUUCCAGGUGACUACCUCAUGAAGCUGGUUGAGAGAAUACCAAGAGAAAGCAAAGCUGUCAUCAAGGCAAAAGGUGGCUACUUUGAAGAAUCUCAAAUAUAAAAUAUAUUUUGAUUUUAUUUAACACUUUUUUGGCUACUACAUGAUUCCAUAUGUGUUAUUUUAUAAUGUUGAUGUCUUCACUGUUGUUCUACAAUGUAGAAAAUAGUAAAAAAUAAAGAAAAACUCUUGAAUGAGUAGGUGUGUCCAAA